AUUGAACGCUGGCGGCAGGCCUAACACAUGCAAGUCGAACGAGGGGCGGGCGGGUGAGUAAUGUCUGGGAAACUGCCUGAUGGGGGGGGAUAACUACUGGAACCGGUAGCUAAUACCGCAUACCAUCAGCUGAGCCCAGAUGGGAUUCGCUUGUUGGUGGGGUAACGGCUCACCAAGGCGACGAUCCCUAGCUGGUCUGAGAGGAGGACCAGCCACACUGGAACUGAGACACGGUCCAGACUCCUACGGGAGGCAGCAGUGGGGAAUAUUGCACAAUGGGCGAAAGCCUGAUGCAGCCAUGCCGCGUGUAUGAAGAAGGCCUUCGGUUUGUAAAGUACUUUCAGCGGGGAGGCGUUACCCGCAGAAGAAGCACCGGCUAACUCCGUGCCAGCAGCCGCGGUAAUUC
rnacentral:rRNA from 1 species